rnacentral:lncRNA from 1 species
AACAAUGAUGAGUUCAAAUGGAAACAUACAGCCUUUCAACACUGGCUCCAAGAGAUGGCAUCUAGAAGAAACAGACUGAUUCUGCAGAGUUCUGAAGGGAGCAGGUGACUUAGCAAUUCUGUCUUCAGUUUCUCUGUGGACAUCAUCAAUGUUUUCCUGUGCUCCAGUUGUCAAACUUCAUCAGCGAAAUGUUGGGGUCAUUUAAAGCUGCUGCUUUGCAUUCACUGAAACGACUAACAACCACAAGGAAACAUGGUUUCUCCGACAGCAAUGAAUAAAACAAUUGCCUGACUAAAGAGGAGAUAUCCUCUUUAGAUAAAACGACU